GACGAACGCUGGCGGCGUGCUUAACACAUGCGAGUCGAACGCUGAAGCUCAGCUUUUGUUGGGUGGAUGAGUGGCGAACGGGUGAGUAACACGUGAGUAACCUGCCCCCUUCUUUGGGAUAACGCCCGGAAACGGGUGCUAAUACUGGAUAUUCACUGGUCUUCGCAUGGGGGUUGGUGGAAAGGGUUUUUCUGGUGGGGGAUGGGCUCGCGGCCUAUCAGCUUGUUGGUGGGGUGAUGGCCUACCAAGGCUUUGACGGGUAGCCGGCCUGAGAGGGUGACCGGUCACAUUGGGACUGAGAUACGGCCCAGACUCCUACGGGAGGCAGCAGUGGGGAAUAUUGCACAAUGGGCGCAAGACUGAUGCAGCGACGCAGCGUGAGGGAUGGAGGCCUUCGGGUUGUGAACCUCUUUCGCUCAUGGUCAAGCCGCAACAAUGGUUGUGGUGAGGGUAGUGGGUAAAGAAGCGCCGGCUAACUACGUG
rnacentral:rRNA from 1 species